UCUGGACAAACAGAACGCUUAUUGCAAAAUGUCAGCGAUUUGGAAGCUUACGGUGCCGCUUCUCGCCCUGUUCUUUGCAGUGGCAAGUGGUCUGGCUAUCAUCGGAGGACCCACUAAUGCGGACCCGAGUGAACAAGAAGUCAAAGACGCCUUGCAGUAUACUGUCGACCACAUCAUCGGAUGGGCAAACACUCCUUUUCUCAGAAAAUUGACAAGAGUCGGCGACACUAAGCAACAGGUGGUUGUCGGAAUGAUGUACGUCCUCACAGUAGAGAUGGCCAGGACGAACUGCACGAAGGAGAAGGAGGAGAAGGAGGAGACGCAGUGUGUCGUGUACACGGACCCGAUGAUCGCAUCCCCCAUAAGAUGCACUGCUGACGUAUGGAAGCAUCCCAUCACUGAAAAGUACGAAAUGAUGAAGAUGGCUUGUGUGGCCUAAGAACAUCACGGAGAACGGCUGCAUUACUUUAAGUUCAAUCACCUUAACAGUCGCUUGCUCUGCCUGCUUGGAGACACCGAAUUAACCCACGUGUUAUGUCACUCAUAUUUCUUCACCAGUGUUAUGAAAACAAUUUCAUAUUUUUUUGUUUUAUCUUUCUUUUUGGCAUUUCUUAUUCAUAACUGAAAUAAGUGCCGUAUUGGCAAAGCGAGCUAUGCAAUAAAUCAUUCAUAUUUGAACUAAAUAAAUGAUUGUUAAAACACUGCAA